CACCUACCCAUGGUUGUCCUCGACCAUGAUUGACUGGAAAAACUCACUCUCUCUCUCGGGAACAGGGCACAGAACACAGAAUAAAAACAUAUGUGCAUGUGGACAUCGAUAAAAAAAACUUCCUACAGGGAGAGAAGAAAAGAGGGGUGUGCUAAAUAUUAUCGUCCAAGUUGGUAAACCUUGGUGGGCAUCACUGCAUGCCUUCCUGUGUUUGGACAGAUAUUAGAACACAAGACAUCGCUGCAACUGAGCUAUGACGUAACAGGGUACGGUCUUUUCUGGAACGGUGGAGUAGUCAUUGUAGAGUAGACGCUGCAGGGGUUUGCUUAACCUGGGCCACAACCUGCUGGUGCCCUCAAGUGAAGCAUUGUCAGUACUCGGCAACUGGGCAGGACUACUACUGGCAAGGGACUCAGGAGGACAUUUCUUGACUGGUACUGCCCCUGGGGCUGUCACUGCUGGCGAGUGGAGCGAGUCUUAGCGGAGACAACUCAGGCGAAACACCCGGGAGUCGUAGCAGUAUACACCGUAACUAAAGUGAGCGGGCUACAGGUCAGCCAUCACUAAUCCGGCAUCAUUGGGACCUGUAGUGUGCCGGAUUACAGAGUAGUUAGGUUAGGAUACACUUAAUUAACCUAUCAGUAGACACUUUUUUAUUGCAUCUUCAUUUUCAUCACUGCUUUCUCCUCCCCUGGCUUUCUGCUGUGGAUUUACAACCAUCUGCACAAUUUCCGAGUCAGUAUAAUGAUGAAAUUUGAAAUUAUGCUAGCCAAAAUUAGUGCCGGAUUACUGAUGGAACCGGAUAAUUGAUUGCCGGAUUAGUGAUGGCUGACCUGUAGCAAUCAUAGUGACAUAUUUUGUACAGGCUGCUCAUUGAAGCUGUGACACGAGUCAGUCGCCUGACGACGGUUACUGUGGCUUGUCGAUGUCAUCCUCUCAACAGUUGAAGUCAUGGCAGAGUUAGUCUAAGCGUCCUCAGACUGGUUUUCUAUACUUGACCACUCUGACAGUCAGGAGGUGGAGUGCAACGAGUCUCAGUGGGGAAUCGUAGUGGCAUGUCUUGGGCAUGGUGUCUAUGAAUGGCGAGCAUAAGAGCUUUCUGUACAUGGGGGCUCAGACACUCGUAAUCUGAUGCCUGGACUGACUAGCAUCAGUUGUCAAACGUUCGCAAUGCGGUGACAUUUAACAUGAGGGUGUUACCAAUGGUCUGGGCUCAGACCACACUGUGGUCUACACACACACAUCUGGGCUCAGACCACUUAAUUGGGGGGACACGUAAAGCUUGCACGCACCUGCACUGCACAUACGGUUACAACAUUGCUUGCACUAAAAAGAUACUUUUCUGUGCAAAAAUAGACAAGUAUUCACGAACAUGUGAGAACACUAGUAAGGAGCACUGACUGAGGAAUUAACACGUGACAUAUAUCUUCUCUCAAUCCUUCUCGACAGUACUAAAUAUAAAUUGCUCACUGUGAUACUAUAACACUGUUGAUGUGACAUGUAGUGAUGUCAGGUGUGACAUCCUGGGUGAUGUCAGGCAGCAGAAACAGUUUGUGGCUUGCUCCAUGUGGCUUGUAGAUCUAUGUGGCCUUAUCCACGUGUGGCUUCAUGAUUGUUUGAGUCCUGUGCAAGCCGGGGAUCAAUAAUUAGGCUUCAGAGGAAACGUUACUUUAUUUAGGUUCUUGGUACACAGGCAGUGUGUUAAAGUGCCCAGGCCCUGAGGGGCAUGCCCAGAAGAGUGUUACAGAAUAAACCGUGUUGACUGAGUGAAGUCUGCUGCCAGAGUGAGACAGGGUAAGCGUGGUGUGGGCCGAGCUUGGUAGGCCUAUGCCACUAGGUGUCAGCACCGUAGUGCCGUGAAAUAUGAGCCUAGCUGGGCAUACAAAUAAGUGUCAAGGGCCCAAAACUAUUUAACUGCCUCCCAGCAUACACAAGGGGGAUUACCAAGAGACCCCUGACUGUCUUCAAAAAGGUGCUGGACAGGCACCUAAAGUCGGUACCUGACCAGCCGGGCUGUGGUUCGUAUGUCAGUCUGCGUGCGGUCAGCAAUAACAGCCUGGUUGAUCAGACCCUGAUCCACCACGAGGCCUGGUCUCGGACUGAGCCGCAGGGGUGUUGAUCCCCGAAACCCUCUCCAGGUAUACCCUCCCAAAAGCAGUGUCAUCAGCAAAAAGCAUCUGUGACAAUUCCAUAUUAUUUUCCAAUCCCACGCCUCUUCCCAAUACCCCAGGAUGGACUUCUCUUACAACCACAUGUGUAAUGUCACCAAGGUUGGUGACAUUACACAUUCCUGUCUAAGGCCUACUUUUACUGGAUAAUAAUCUCCCUCUUGCCUACAUACCCUAAUCAGUCUUACUCUCCUUGUAAAAACUCUUAACUGCUUUCAGUAACCUACCACUUGUUCCAUACACUUGCAACAUCUGCCACAUUGCUUUCCUAUCACCCUAUCAUGCAUUUUCCUAAUCCAUAAAUGCAACAAAAGUUGUUAACCCUUGUCUACAUACUGUUCACUUGUAUGCUUCAAUGUAAACACUUGGUCUCCAUAUCCCCUGCUCUUCCUAGAGCCUCUGUUCAUCUGCAAUCCGUUUUCCAUCUUGCCCUUAAUUCUUUCAAUAAUAACUUGACCACAUACCUUUCCAGGUAUAAUCAACAGGCUUUUUUUUUUUUUUUUAUAAACAAGUCGGCUGUCUCCCACCGAGGCAGGGUGACCCAAAAAAAAAGAAAAUCCCAAAAAAGAAAAUACUUUCAUCGUUCAACACUUUCACCUCACUCUCACAUAAUCACUGUUUUUGCAGAGGUGCUCAGAACACAACAGUUUAGAAGCAUAUACAUAUAAAGAUACACAACAUAUCCCUCCAAACUGCUAAUAUACCAAACCCCUCCUUUAGAGUACAGGCAUUUUACUUCCCAUUUCCAGGACUCAAGUCCGGCUAUAUAAAAAUACUGUAACUGGUUUCCCUGAAUCCCUUCACUAAAUACAGUGGACCCCCGGUAUACGAUAUUAAUCCGUUCCUGAGUGCUCAUCGUAUGCCAAAAUUAUCGGAAGGCGAAUUAAUUUUCCCCGUAAGAAAUAAUGGAAAUCAAAUUAAUCCGUGCAAGACACCCAAAAGUACUAUGAAAAAAAAAGUUUUACCACAUGAAAUAUUAAGUUUAAUGCACACAAACUGAAGAAGACAUGCACAGUUAGUAGUACUCUGCUAACAAUAGAAUACAUGACACUUACCUUUAACCCUUUGAGGGUCGACAGGCCCUCUCUGAGACUCAUUCUCAGGGUCGGCCAAAUUAAAAAAAAAAAUAAUUUUUUCUUAUGAAAAGAUAGAGAAUCUUUUCCCGAUCAUAAUGACACCAAAAGUAUGAAAUUUGAUGGAAAACUUACGGAAUUAUGCUCUUGCGAAGUUAGCGGUCUCGGCAAUGUUUACGCAUCGGCGAUUUUGCCCACUUUGAGUCCCAUUUUCGGCCAAUUCCACUGUACUAGUCAACAGAAAACAUGAAUAUUUCGCUAGAACUCCAUUUUUUUCUAUCGAAUGAGUGCAAGAAACCACCCAUUUACCAAUUUCAACUAUCCAGUACUGUGGUCAGAAUUUAGCAAUUUUGCCAAUUUCACACAAAUUUCAAAAGAUGCCAAUUUCCGAAUAGGGUCCAGAAUAAACAAGAAAGACAUUCCUGGCACUAAAAUGACAUUUCCUCUGUUCAUUAGUCAUGUCUCAAGGCCCCUCUUGCAUUCUUUUGCUUUCCACUUUGAAUUUUUCUCACAAAAAAUAGAAGAUUUACUGUUAUGCAGAUUACUGCAUUAGUAUAAAAAAUGGUAUAAAUAAUAUUGGCGCACUUGUGAAAGAAUAUUAGACUCGCCAGUUGACGUGUAUGGAACGCUUGAAAUGAUUUGUUUACUUUUGAACUUUGGUAAAAAUUGAACAUUUCUGCUACUUUGAGCUCAAUUUCAAGGUACUUUUCAUUGUAAAACCAGUCAAAAUCAUCUCAAUUUCUGUAAUAUGUCUUCCAUUCUAUAAAAUGAGACCAAGAAAACUAAAAUACAACAAUAAAUACCAUACGAAAAUACAAUGCAAAGUCGCUGUUUUAUUCCAAAAAAAAGGUCAAAGUUUUUUUUCUCAUUAUGCACUGUGUGCUGCAGGAUUUUUUUUAGACUCUGCACACUGACCACAUAGACCCAUUCUUUCAUAUGUAGGCCUACCAGCUUUCUCCCACUAGAUUUGAGGGCACUAGAAUUUAGGCGUACUAGUACGUCAAAAAUCCUGGGUCGUAAGCCGUACUAGUACGGCCAAAACCCUCAAAGGGUUAAUGAAGAUCUGGUGAUGAUUGAUGGGAUGGGAGGAGGGGAGUGUCGAACUUAUUGUUUAGAAGGGGAAUCCGCUUCCAUUAGGACUUGAGGUAGCAAGUCCUUUUCCGGGGUUACUUCCCUUCUUCUUUUAAUGCCACUAGGACCAGCUUGUCACUGGACCUCUGUCACACAACAAAUCUGUCCAUAGAGCUCUGUACCUCCUGUUCCUUUACGAUUUGUCUAAAAUGGGCCACAACAUUGCCAUUGUAAUAGUUACCAACACGGCUUUCAAUAGCUGUGUUAUGGUGAUUUUCAUCCAUAAAGGUUUGCAGUUCAACCCACUUUGCACACAUUUCUUUAAUUUUUGAAGUAGGCACAAUGGAUUCCACAACUGGCAUAGGCUUCUCAGGGUUAGCCCCAAACCCUUCAAAAUCUUUCUUAAUUUCCAUACUAAUUCUCACCCUUUUUACCACAGGGUUGGCACUAGAAGCUUUCUUGGGGCCCAUGGUGACUUAUUUUGCAGAAACAAGCACCAAAAACAGUGUGAUAAUAUGGAAUGUACGGAGUGUAUGCUUAGAUGCGAGCACACUGGCUGGCUUGUGAACACUGGCACUCACAUGGACGUGUCCUGGACGAAUCGUGUGUGGAGGGUUUUUUAACGAGUGGCGAGGCAAAAUUUUGGCGUUAAAACUUAUCGAAUACCGAAUUUAACGUAUACCGAUGCUAUCGAAUACCAGGGGUCCACUGUAUUACCCUACUCACACUCCAACAGAUCGUCAGGUCCCAAUACCAUUCGUCUCCAUUCACUCCUAUCGAACACGCUCAUGCACACCUGCUGGAAGUCCAGGCCCAAAAGGGUUGUUUCCCUAUAAUUCUUACUCUUUUUGUUCCCUUAGCCUUUAUACAUAGGAACUAUACAUGCUCUAUGUUGGUCUCCAACCAUUCCAAAACUAUAUAUCCAUCUUCUUUUAACAUUAGUCUUGAUGGCUUCAAUCCCAGCCUGAUCUCUUCUAUCCCUUCUUAUAUCACUUCUGCUUUGUAAAAACCUCUUGAAUGCUAACUUUUUCUCUUAUUUGACACUCGUCAUUUCAUCAAUCGCUCCUGUAAUUUCAUAGUUAAUUUUUUUCUCUCUUCCAACGUUACUUCUGUAUUUUUUAUUGGAUCACUAAAUAUGUGAUUUCCUUAGCUUCGUGUUUGAAAACCUAUGCUUGCCUUCACUUCUAUCAGCUUUAGCCCAAGAUUGAUUUUUGGGGGCUUUAGACAUUUUAAAAUUUCAUGCAUAUUUCCUGAAGCUUUAGGUUGUUGCUCUUUUUUUUUUAGUAUUUAGGGUUUUUCUUACCUAGUACUAUUGGCCUGCAUGUCUGCUCUCACAUUAGUUCAUCUGUCCUUGUAAAUUUGUCUUCAGAAUUCCCUAGAAGUGCUAUCAUUAGCAAAGAGCAAGUAGGAUAUAUCCCAUUUUGUAUCAGAUCCAUCAUCUUUCAGACCCACAUCUUCAAAAGCGCCCUAGCAUUUACAACUUUUGCUACCGCAUUAUUCUUUUUCUUCAUUUCUUUGAAAUUAUAAUGUACAUGCGUGACUGUAUUAAAGUCUCUACUGAAAUUUUCUUUUAGGAUGACAAGGCUUUCCUGGAAAAGAAGAAAGAGGAGGAGAAAAAGAUGAAGGAGCUUCAAGCACGUGCGGCAAAGGGUGGUCCACUUGCAUCUGGCGGUAUCAAGAAGAGCGGAAAAAAGUAACCACAGCCAGUUAAUACUGGUUUACGCACUCAGCCUCACCAUUAUUUCAUUUUAACAUUUCAUGUGGUAUUUGUUUCAUAAAAUAAAAAUGAUAAAAUA